UACGUAGGGUGCGAGCGUUAAUCGGAAUUACUGGGCGUAAAGCGCGUGUAGGCGGCUCGGAAAGUCGGGUGUGAAAGCCCUGGGCUCAACCUAGGAAGUGCACUCGAAACUUCCGAGCUGGAGUUCUGGAGAGGAAGGCGGAAUUCUCGGUGUAGAGGUGAAAUUCGUAGAUAUCGAGAGGAACACCGGUGGCGAAGGCGGCCUUCUGGACAGCAACUGACGCUGAGAUGCGAAAGUGUGGGGAGCAAACGGG
rnacentral:rRNA from 1 species